UUUUAGUAUGUCUUAUUAGUUGGGCUAAAUUAUCAUAAAAUAAACUGAGGACUAAAGCCCAUGGACGUAAACAGCUUGAUGACCUCUUUUGAGUGAACAGAGAGCUGGGACUGAAAUGCUCACCAAUGAAGCUGGUGAAGUCACUAAGGUUACUCUUUCUUUCUCUGUUUCCACAUUUAUAUCUAUCUCUCUCUUUCUUUGUGAGUUCUAAUGUUACGUUUGUUUUUUUUGUGUGCAUGUAGCCGUUUACGAGGGAUGUUUAAUCGUACCAUUCGUCUUCUCGAAGCUGGAAUCAAUUCAAGCCUGUGUAAUGUUCUUCUUCUUCCACAUUACUUUCUCUGUGGUGGUUUACUUUUUACUAUUACUUUUUCUUCAGAAUGUUUUUGUUACAGCUAUGUCUUUGAUGGGAAUCCCCGGGAGUUAAAGAGGCAAGAACUGGCUAAACGGCCACUUCUGAAGCAGGAGCGCAAUGUGCUGCACUCUGCAAAUCAGGAAAGGUGUAUGGUGUGGCUUCCGAAGAUAUGGGAUUCCUUUAACUUUUGGGGCUCCUAAGUUUCUUUGCCACCUCAUGGAUCCUACUAGCUCCAGAAAGAUCCCUGUCAUGGAAUUUGUUUUUGCUUUUAUGCUUAUCUCGGUUUCCUUGUUAGUCUCUCUUUUCUCAGUGGUAGAAAAUUCAGUCAGGUCUGUACUUCAUUUGCAUCCUAUGGUUCAUGUGAAGGUGCUUCUGUCUGUAUUUGUGUACUAAUAUCAGAAUCUUAAUGUGAUGUAAAAGCAAG